UGGAGUUUGGCUCCUACCUGGCUUUCUUUUUGACUCAAGGUGUGGAACAAAAUCACACGUUUCUUACUGGACACCAUCAAAUACCUCCCCAUUGCAGUGUGUUUCAAAACCUUUCCUUCUACUGAACACAACCUAGGUUUUCUCAGACUGACAUGUGAGCCCGGGAGAGCGGGAGGAGGAAGAGGGAGUCUUUGUCAGUCUUUCCAAAACGAGCUCUGGGCUCCUCUGGCUGGCCUGACUCUGGCUCCGCUCUGACAAGACUCCCAGCUGCAGCGUAGCCAAGAUGUCGGCUUGAAGGCCAAUCAACCCAACCCCAGCCCUGAGAGAGACGAGGGCUCAGGUUCAACUCACACGUGGACUCUCCAUAGAGGUGUAAGGUGAGCUUCCCUGAUAACUAUAUCUAUCAUUGCGUGUGCCGUGAGUAAACCUGCAUUAGUUAAAUUGUUUGAGUGGGUGAUGAAGAUUGUGAGAUUGUGGUGGAAAUGUUUGAUUACUGAAAUUAUUAUGGAGGUGUUAUUACCGUAACCGAACACUGAAAAUACUGUAUAUUAUGGUUCUGUGUUAUGACAAUGUGUUAUGACACGGUAUUAACUAAUGAGAGAGAAUUAGGCCACAUUGUUUGUAACUUAAAAUGAUUUUUUAAAACAUAUUUUGGACAUAAUGUUGCUGCCACCGUCUCUUAUGACCGAAAAUAACUUCUGGACAUCAGAACAGCGAUUAUUCUCCACAAACUGGCAGAAGCUUUUUUUUUCCUUUAACGAGUCCGACGAGCCCGGCGUGAACGACAUACUGCUUUCCAGGGAAUAGGCCCAAAUCCCCAUCAUUUGCGUGAAGAGAUGACGGAUGAAAAGAGGACGAAGAGUCGCGGUUGAACGACGACAUUAUCAACGUACAGCUGGCUGGGUAAACGCUGUGUCGGCAGGAUUGAACAGCGGCGCCUGGACCUGAGCCCUAGGACCAUGCCUCAGGACUACCUGGCAUGAUGACUCCUUGCUGCUCCCAGUCCACCUGGUCGUGCUGCUGCUCCAGUUUCAACUGUUCUGGCUGCGGCUAUGGAACCCUGACCUGUUCACCGGACGUGCUACCUGUCCCAGACCUGCUGUUUUCAACUCUCUAGAGACAGCAGGAGUGGUAGAGAUACUCUGAAUGAUCGGCUAUGAAAAGCCAACGGACAUUUACUCCUGAGGUGCUGACCUGUUGCACCCUCUACAACCACUGUGAUUAUUAUUAUUUGACCCUGCUGGUCAUCUAUGAACAUUUGAACAUCUUGACUAUGUUCUGUUAUAAUCUCCACCCGGCACAGCCAGACGAGGACUAGCCACUCCUCAUAGCCUGGUUCUUCGCUAGGUAUCUUCCUAGGUUCUGGCCUUUCUAGGGAGUUUUUCCUAGCCACCGUGCUUCUACACCUGCAUUGCUUGCUGUUUGGGGUUUUAGCACUUUGUGACAUCAGCUGAUGUAAGAAGGGCCUCAUAA